rnacentral:rRNA from 1 species
AAAGGUGAAAAGCACCCCGGGAGGGGAGUGAAAGAGUUCCUGAAACCGUGCGCCUACAAUCCGUCGGAGCCUCCUUGUGGGGUGACGGCGUGCCUAUCGAAAAAUGAGUCUGCGAGUCAGUGGCGGGUGGCGAGCAUAAGCCGUGUGGCGUAUGCGUAGCGAAAGCGAGUCUUAAAAGGCGUUUUUAGUCGCUUGUCCUGGACCCGAAGCGGGAUGAUCUAGCCCUGGGCAGGUUGAAGCGCGGGUAAGACCGCGUGGAGGACCGAACCCACCUGGGUUGAAAACCGGGGGGAUGACCUGGGGCUAGGGGUGAAAGGCCAAUCAAAUUCCGUGAUAGCUGGUUCUCUCCGAAAUGCAUUUAGGUGCAGCGUCGGUUGAUUGCAUCGCGGGGGUAGAGCUACUGGAUGCUUGCGGGCCCGUGUCGGGUACCAAUAGCAGCCAAACUCCGAAUACCGUGGAUGUGUAUUCCGGCAGUGAGUCGGCGGGGGAUAAGCUCCGUCGUCGAGAGGGAGACAGCCCAGACCGUCGUCUAAGGUCCCGAAGCGUGUGCUAAGUGGGAAAGGAUGUGGAGUCGCAUAGACAGCCAGGAGGUUGGCUCAGAAGCAGCCAUCCUUGAAAGAGUGCGUAACAGCUCACUGGUCUAGUGGUUCCGCGCCGACAAUGUAGCGGGGCUCAAGCACACCACCGAAGACGCGGCAGCAAUCUUCAUGGUUGCUGGGUAGGAGAGCGUCCUGCGAGGGGCGAAGCGGCCGGGUAACCGUGCCGUGGACUUCGUGGGAGUGAGAAUGCAGACAUGAGUAGCGAGAGACGGGUGAGGAUCCCGUCCGCUGGAUGACCAAGGGUUCCGGGGCCACGUUCGUCGUCCCCGGGUGAGUCGGGUCCUAAGGCGAGGCCGACAGGCGUAGUCGAAUGGAUGAACGGGUGGAUAUUCCCGUACCGACCAUGGACCGGCAAAACCGAGACGGUGAGUACUAACCUCCGCCUCGUGGUGGUUCCUUCCUUCGGGUUGGUAUCGCCGCGUGGUGUUGGGACUGUAGCCGCAGUAGGUCAGCGCAGGGGUGACACGGAAUGGGAGCCGGCCGCGGAGGUGGUUUUCCGUGGUCAAGCACGCAGCCCGUCCCAUAGGCAAAUCCGUGGGACGCAUAGGGUGAGGUGUGAUGAUGGGCGCCUUUUUGGCGCGAUAUCCGGUGGUCCAGGCCGUCGAGAAAAGCCUCGGCGUGAGGGCCAUGGCCGCCCGUACCCCAAACCGACACUGGUGGUCAGGUAGAGAAUACCAAGGCGAUCGAGCGAAUCCUGGUCAAGGAACUCGGCAAAUCACUCCCGUGCCUUCGGUAUAAGGGAGACCCGCUGGGGUGAACCGGCUAGCCCGGGGAGCUUUGGUGGGUGGCACAGACCAGGGGGUAGCGACUGUUUACCAAAAACACAGGUGCAUGCGAAGGCGAAAGCCGCUGUAUAUGCACUGACGCCUGCCCGGUGCCGGAAGGUUAAGAGGAUCCGUCAGCCCCUUUUGGGGUGAAGCGGUGAAUUCAAGCCCCGGUAAACGGCGGUGGUAACUAUAACCAUCCUAAGGUAGCGAAAUUCCUUGUCGGGUAAGUUCCGACCUGCACGAAUGGCGUAACGACUUCCCCACUGUCUCGACCAGGAGCUCGGCGAAAUUGCAGUACGAGUAAAGAUGCUCGUUAAGCGCAGAAGGACGAAAAGACCCCGGGACCUUUACUAUACCUUGGUAUUGGCGUUAGGCGCGGAUUGUGUAGCAUAGGCGGGAGGCUUCGAAGCGGGUGCGCCAGCAUUCGUGGAGCCGCAAGGUGAAAUACCGCUCUGUUCUCGUUUGACGUCUCACCUCGAACAGUCAUCCUGUUCAGGGACAGUGCCUGGCGGGUAGUUUAACUGGGGCGGUUGCCUCCCAAAGAGUAACGGAGGCGCUCAAAGGUCCGCUCAGCCCGGUUGGCAAUCGGGUGGCGAGUGCAAGUGCACAAGCGGGCUUGACUGCGAGGACGACGGUCCGAGCAGGGACGAAAGUCGGAGAUAGUGAUCCGGUGCCGGCGCACGGGCGCGGCAUCGCUCAACGGAUAAAAGGUACCCCGGGGAUAACAGGCUGAUCAUUCCCAAGAGUCCAUAUCGACGGGAUGGUUUGGCACCUCGAUGUCGGCUCGUCGCAUCCUGGGGCUGGAGCAGGUCCCAAGGGUUCGGCUGUUCGCCGAUUAAAGCGGCACGCGAGCUGGGUUCAGAACGUCGUGAGACAGUUUGGUCUCUAUCCUCUGCGCUCGUUGGAAUCCUGAGGAGGCCUGCCCAUAGUACGAGAGGACCUGGGUGGACGAACCUCUGGUAUGCCGGUUGUCACGCCAGUGGCACG